CCUACGGGAGGCAGCAGUGGGGAAUAUUGCGCAAUGGGCGAAAGCCUGACGCAGCGACGCCGCGUGAGGGAUGAAGGUCUUCGGAUCGUAAACCUCUGUCAGCAGGGAAGAACGGUCACUGUGCUAAUCACCAGUGAAUUGACGGUACCUGCAAAGGAAGCACCGGCUAACUCCGUGCCAGCAGCCGCGGUAAUACGGAGGGUGCGAGCGUUAAUCGGAAUUACUGGGCGUAAAGCGCUCGUAGGCGGUAUGUCAAGUCAAGGGUGAAAUCCCCGCGCUCAACGUGGGAACUGCCUUUGAAACUGGCAGACUGGAGUGGGUGAGAGGAGGGUGGAAUGCCAGGUGUAGGGGUGAAAUGCGUAGAGAUCGGGAGGAACAUCGGUGGCGAAGGCGGCUAGCUGGAACAAGACUGACGCUGAGGAGCGAAAGCGUGGGUAGCAAACAGGAUUAGAUACCCGGGUAGUC
rnacentral:rRNA from 1 species